rnacentral:rRNA from 1 species
GAUGAACGCUGGCGGCGUGCCUAAUACAUGCAAGUCGAGCGAACAGAUGAGGAGCUUGCUCCUCUGACGUUAGCGGCGGACGGGUGAGUAACACGUGGAUAACCUACCUAUAAGACUGGGAUAACUUCGGGAAACCGGAGCUAAUACCGGAUAAUAUAUUGAACCGCAUGGUUCAAUAGUGAAAGACGGUUUUGCUGUCACUUAUAGAUGGAUCCGCGCCGCAUUAGCUAGUUGGUAAGGUAACGGCUUACCAAGGCAACGAUGCGUAGCCGACCUGAGAGGGUGAUCGGCCACACUGGAACUGAGACACGGUCCAGACUCCUACGGGAGGCAGCAGUAGGGAAUCUUCCGCAGUGGGCGAAAGCCUGACGGGCAACGCCGCGUGAGUGAUGAAGGUCUUCGGAUCGUAAAACUCUGUUAUUAGGGAAGAACAAAUGUGUAAGUAACUAUGCACGUCUUGACGGUACCUAAUCAGAAAGCCACGGCUAACUACGUG